UUUAACGUGAGGGUUUGAUCCUGGCUCAGGGCGAACGCUGGCGGCGCGCCUAACACAUGCAAGUCGAGGGGGAAAGGGUAGCUUCGGCUACCCGAGUACACCGGCAGACGGGUGAGUAACGCGUGGGUAACCUACCUUGGGGUCUGGGAUAACCACCCGAAAGGGUGGCUAAUACCGGAUACGUUCCUGAGGCGCGAGCCGAGGGAAGAAAGGGUGCCACUGCAUAGCAAGCACCUGCCCUAAGAGGGGUCCGCGUCCCAUCAGCUAGUUGGUGAGGUAACGGCUCACCAAGGCAACGACGGGUAGCCGGCCUGAGAGGGUGGUCGGCCACACUGGCACUGAGACACGGGCCAGACUCCUACGGGAGGCAGCAGUGGGGAAUCUUGGGCAAUGGCCGAAAGGCUGACCCAGCGACGCCGCGUGGGGGAAGAAGGCCUUCGGGUCGUAAACCCCUGUCAAGGAGGAAGAAGCCCUUACUGGUUAAGAGCUGGUAGGGGUUGACGGUACUCCUGGAGGAAGCCACGGCUAACUCCGUGCCAGCAGCCGCGGUAAUACGGAGGUGGCGAGCGUUGCCCGGAAUCACUGGGCGUAAAGGGGGCGUAGGCGGCCGGACGAGUCGGACGUGAAAGCCCGGGGCUCAACCCCGGAAUUGCGUUCGAUACUGUCUGGCUUGAGGUCCGGAGAGGCCGGCGGAAUUCCCGGUGUAGGGGUGAAAUCCGUAGAUAUCGGGAGGAACACCGGUGGCGAAGGCGGCCGGCUGGACGGCACCUGACGCUGAGGCCCGAAAGCGUGGGGAGCAAACCGGAUUAGAUACCCGGGUAGUCCACGCCGUAAACGAUGGGUGCUAGGUGUGGGGGGUUAAACCUUCCGUGCCGAAGCUAACGCAAUAAGCACCCCGCCUGGGGAGUACGGCCGCAAGGCUGAAACUCAAAGGAAUUGACGGGGGCCCGCACAAGCGGUGGAGCACGUGGUUUAAUUCGAUGCAAAGCGAAGAACCUUACCUGGGUUUGACAUGCUAGGGAACCCCUCAGAGAUGAGGGGGUGCCCGGGCUUUGCCUGGGAGCCCUAGCACAGGUGCUGCAUGGCUGUCGUCAGCUCGUGUCGUGAGAUGUUGGGUUAAGUCCCGCAACGAGCGCAACCCUUGCCCUUAGUUGCCAGCGGGUAGAGCCGGGCACUCUAGGGGGACUGCCGGGGACAACCCGGAGGAAGGGGGGGAUGACGUCAAGUCAUCAUGGCCCUUAUGCCCAGGGCUACACACGUGCUACAAUGGGCGGUACAGAGGGAAGCGAACCCGUAAGGGGGAGCAAAUCCCAGAAAGCCGCUCUCAGUACGGAUCGGGGUCUGCAACUCGACCCCGUGAAGCCGGAAUCGCUAGUAACGGCGGAUCAGCAUGCCGCCGUGAAUACGUUCCCGGGCCUUGUACACACCGCCCGUCACACCACGGGAGCUGGCUCUGCCCGAAGUCGCUAUCCCAACCCCCGGAAGGGGGAGGGAGGCGCCGACGGCAGGGCUGGUGACUGGGGUGAAGUCGUAACAAGGUAUCCCUACCGGAAGGUGGGGAUGGAUCACCUCCUUUCU
rnacentral:rRNA from 1 species